GAGUUUGUGUUGUUUUGUGGAGUGUUCUCUUGGUUCUCAGUACACGUCUGGCUGUGUGACUUCACCUCGCUGAGCUGAACCUUAGCCGGCCCAUCGAGGAGCAGGGCCCCCUGGACGUCAUCAUCCACAAGCUGACCGAUGUCAUCCUGGAAGCCGACCAGAACGACAGCCAGUCCCUGGAGCUGGUGCACAGGUUCCAGGAAUACAUCGACGCCCACCCUGAGACCAUUGUCCUGGACCCCCUUCCUGCCAUCAGGACGCUGCUCGACCGCUCCAAGUCCUACGAGCUCAUCCGCAAGAUUGAGGCCUACAUGAAAGAUAUCUUGGCUUCUUCCCACGUCAGCCUGUAAAGAUGAUGGAGGUCAGGUCUGCCCCGUCGUCCUUGCCGGCAGCAUAGUUCAGCACGUGGGUGAACGCGUCGUAACUCACUCGGCUAUAUCGGGCUUGUUGGGUCAUUCCAGCUUGAUUUGGGUUUUUAAGAAAAUAAACUGCAGUAAACACAGA